rnacentral:rRNA from 1 species
GAUGAACGCUGGCGGCGUGCCUAAUACAUGCAAGUCGAGCGAACAGACGAGGAGCUUGCUCCUUUGACGUUAGCGGCGGACGGGUGAGUAACACGUGGAUAACCUACCUAUAAGACUGGGAUAACUUCGGGAAACCGGAGCUAAUACCGGACAACAUGUUGAACCGCAUGGUUCAACAGUGAAAGACGGUUUUGCUGUCACUUAUAGAUGGAUCCGCGCCGCAUUAGCUAGUUGGUAAGGUAACGGCUUACCAAGGCAACGAUGCGUAGCCGACCUGAGAGGGUGAUCGGCCACACUGGAACUGAGACACGGUCCAGACUCCUACGGGAGGCAGCAGUAGGGAAUCUUCCGCAAAGGGCGAAAGCCUGACGGAGCAACGCCGCGUGAGUGAAGAAGGUCUUCGGAUCGUAAAACUCUGUUAUUAGGGAAGAACAAAUGUGUAAGUAACUAUGCACGUCUUGACGGUACCUAAUCAGAAAGCCACGGCUAACUACGUG